GAAAAUUUAGUUAAUCAAUAACAUAAAAUUGUCAAUUUUAAGUUACUAUAAAUAUAUUAGUAAUUUUCA
rnacentral:tRNA from 1 species